GACGAACGCUGGCGGCGUGCCUAAUACAUGCAAGUUGAGCGCUGAAGGUUGGUACUUGUACCAACUGGAUGAGCAGCGAACGGGUGAGUAACGCGUGGGGAAUCUGCCUUUGAGCGGGGGACAACAUUUGGAAACGAAUGCUAAUACCGCAUAAAAACUUUAAACACAAGUUUUAAGUUUGAAAGAUGCAAUUGCAUCACUCAAAGAUGAUCCCGCGUUGUAUUAGCUAGUUGGUGAGGUAAAGGCUCACCAAGGCGAUGAUACAUAGCCGACCUGAGAGGGUGAUAGGCCACAUUGGGACUGAGACACGGCCCAAACUCCUACGGGAGGCAGCAGUAGGGAAUCUUCGGCAAUGGACGAAAGUCUGACCGAGCAACGCCGCGUGAGUGAAGAAGGUUGUCGGAUCGUAAAACUCUGUUGGUAGAGAAGAAAGUUGGUGAGAGUGGAAAGCUCAUCAAGUGACGGUAACUACCCAGAAAGGGACGGCUAACUACGUG
rnacentral:rRNA from 1 species